rnacentral:rRNA from 1 species
GACGAACGCUGGCGGCGUGCUUAACACAUGCGAGUCGAACGGUAAGGCCCUUCGGGGUACACGAGUGGCGAACGGGUGAGUAACACGUGGGUGAUCUGCCCUGCACUUCGGGAUAAGCCUGGGAAACUGGGUCUAAUACCGGAUAGGACCACUGCCUGCAUGGGUGGUGGUGGAAAGCUUUUGCGGUGUGGGAUGGGCCCGCGGCCUAUCAGCUUGUUGGUGGGGUGAUGGCCUACCAAGGCGACGACGGGUAGCCGGCCUGAGAGGGUGACCGGCCACACUGGGACUGUGAUACGGCCCAGACUCCUACGGGAGGCGGCAGUCGGGAAUAUUGCACAAUGGGCGCAAGCCUGAUGCAGCGACGCCGCGUGAGGGAUGACGGCCUUCGGGUUGUAAACCUCUUUCAGCACCGACGAAGCGCAAGUGACGGUAGGUGCAGAAGAAGGACCGGCCAACUACGUGCCAGCCGCCGCCGUAA